GUCACCCCUCACGUGGGCGCUAGGUGUGGUUUCGUGGGAUAGGUAGAGACAGGGUUUCACCAUGUUAGCCAGGAUGGUCUCGAUCCCCUGACCUCGUGAUCUGCCUGCCUCGGCUGCCCAAAGUGCUGGGAUUACAGGUCACCAGUGAAAAGUUGUGCAGAGCCCAACAUGAGCUUCAUUUCCAAGCUGCCACCUAUCUCUGCCUCCUGCGUAGCAUCCGGGAACAUGUGGCCCUACAUCAGGAAUUUCAUGGCAAGGGUGAGCGCUCAAUGGAGGAGUCUGCUGGCUUGGUGGGUCUCAAGUUGCCCCGUCAGCCUGGAGGGAAGGGCUGGGAGCCAUGAACAUGGAGAAUAUCCUUGGAUGCUGCAUUCACAGGAGAACUGAAUAAUUUCUAUCAAUAUGUAUCAUUAAAUUUUUUUUAAGUU
rnacentral:sRNA from 1 species